UACGUAGGGUCCGAGCGUUGUCCGGAAUUAUUGGGCGUAAAGAGCUCGUAGGCGGUUUGUCGCGUCUGCUGUGAAAUCCCGAGGCUCAACCUCGGGCCUGCAGUGGGUACGGGCAGACUGGAGUGCGGUAGGGGAGAAUGGAAUUCCUGGUGUAGCGGUGGAAUGCGCAGAUAUCAGGAGGAACACCGAUAGCGAAGGCAGCUCGCUGGGACGGUACUGACGCUGAGGCGCGAAAGCGUGGGGAGCGAACAGG
rnacentral:rRNA from 1 species